AGUUUGAUCCUGGCUCAGAUUGAACGCUGGCGGCAUGCUUUACACAUGCAAGUCGAACGGUAACAGGUCUUCGGAUGCUGACGAGUGGCGAACGGGUGAGUAAUGCAUCGGAACGUGCCCAGUCGUGGGGGAUAACGCAGCGAAAGCUGUGCUAAUACCGCAUACGAUCUAUGGAUGAAAGCGGGGGAUCGAAAGACCUCGCGCGAUUGGAGCGGCCGAUGUCAGAUUAGCUAGUUGGUGGGGUAAAGGCCCACCAAGGCGACGAUCUGUAGCUGGUCUGAGAGGACGACCAGCCACACUGGGACUGAGACACGGCCCAGACUCCUACGGGAGGCAGCAGUGGGGAAUUUUGGACAAUGGGCGCAAGCCUGAUCCA
rnacentral:rRNA from 1 species